AUUAGGCUCAAUAAAAUUCUAAUCAAAUCAAGAAUUGAUUAAGCCCAACCCCUGAUCAAAUCAGGGACCAAACCAUCUCGACGAUUAGGUCAACUCUUAACCUAAUCGGAUCAAACCCAACUGAAUCCAAUUCAAUUGGACUUGAUCCAAAAAUAAUUACUCAAUCAAAUUGAGUUAAUUAGUGAUCAAAUCACUAAUUAAACCUCUCAUAAAUAUUGAAUCCAAAUCCGAUGGGCAAUCAGGCAUCAAAAUUCAUCGAUAUGUAACCCUGAUCGAAAAGUCCCAACCAAUGGGACUCUUGACCCCGGUACCCAUAAUGUGUUGAACUCGUGAUCAGAAAAUCCUGAUUCUUGAUCACUGAGUCUCAAACAUGUAGGAUUCUACAUCAGCCAUUAGAUCAGAUAGGAACCUCUAAUGUGUGUGACCCCACAGGUUCGAAUCUUAGCCGAAAGCACAGGAACCAAUUCCUGUACUAAUCGAAGUGACCAUCUAGUAAUAGUACUCGACGUUCGGAU
rnacentral:lncRNA from 1 species